AUUGAACGCUGGCGGCAGGCCUAACACAUGCAAGUCGAGCGGAUGAAGGGAGCUUGCUCCUGGAUUCAGCGGCGGACGGGUGAGUAAUGCCUAGGAAUCUGCCUGGUAGUGGGGGAUAACGUCCGGAAACGGGCGCUAAUACCGCAUACGUCCAGAGGGAGAAAGUGGGGGAUCUUCGGACCUCACGCUAUCAGAUGAGCCUAGGUCGGAUUAGCUAGUUGGUGGGGUAAAGGCCUACCAAGGCGACGAUCCGUAACUGGUCUGAGAGGAUGAUCAGUCACACUGGAACUGAGACACGGUCCAGACUCCUACGGGAGGCAGCAGUGGGGAAUAUUGGACAAUGGGCGAAAGCCUGAUCCAGCCAUGCCGCGUGUGUGAAGAAGGUCUUCGGAUUGUAAAGCACUUUAAGUUGGGAGGAAGGGCAGUAAGUUAAUACCUUGCUGUUUUGAUGUUACCAACAGAAUAAGCACCGGCUAACUUCGUG
rnacentral:rRNA from 1 species